rnacentral:rRNA from 1 species
CCUACGGGAUGCAGCAGUGGGGAAUCUUGCGCAAUGGGCGAAAGCCUGACGCAGCCACGCCGCGUGCGGGAUGAAGGCCCUAGGGUUGUAAACCGCUUUUAACAGGAACGAAAAUGACGGUACCUGUAGAAUAAGGUGCGGCCAACUACGUGCCAGCAGCCGCGGUGACACGUAGGCACCAAGCGUUGUCCGGAUUUAUUGGGCGUAAAGAGCUCGUAGGCGGUUCAGUAAGUCGGGUGUGAAAACUCUGGGCUUAACCCGAGAGACGCCACUCGAUACUAUUGUGACUAGAGUUCGGUAGGGGANCGGGGAAUUCCUAGUGUAGCGGUGAAAUGCGCAGAUAUUAGGAGGAACACCGGUGGCGAAGGCGCCGCUCUGGGCCGAUACUGACGCUGAGGAGCGAAAGCGUGGGUAGCAAACAGGAUUAGAUACCCUGGUAGUCCACGCCGUAAACGGUGGGCACUAGGUGUGGGUUCCAACCACCGGAAUCCGCGCCGUCGCUAACGCAUAGUAGCCGCCGUCGGGAGGUACGGCCGCGAGUAAACGUACAAGAAGUAGACGGCGNGAGACGNGCCGACGGACGACGACGAGGGAGUAGG